CUCGCCCGGCUAGUUUUUUGUAUUUUUUAGUAGAGACGGGGUUUCACCGUGUUAGCCAGGAUGGUCUCGAUCUCCUGACCUCGUGAUCCGCCCGUCUCGGCCUCCCAAAGUGCUGGGAUUACAGGCUUGAGCCACCGCGCCCGGCCUCUUUUUUUGUUUUCUUUUGUUUGUUUUGAGACAGGGCUCUAUGGACCAGGCUCUAUGGACCAGGCUGGACUGCAGUGUGAUCCUGGUUCACGGCAAACUUCACCUCCUGGGUUCAAGCAAUUCUUGUGCCUCAGCCUCCCAGGUAGCUGGUGUUAAACAGAUGUGUGCCACCAUGCCUGGCUAAUUUUUGUAUUUGUAGUAGAGAUGGGGUUUUGCCUUGUUGGCCAGGCUGAUCUUGAACUCCCGACCUCAAGUGAUCUACCCGCCUCGGCCUCCCAAAGUGGUGAGAUUAAAGGUGUGAGCCAUCGUGCCUGGCCCUGUGUUGUGCUCUGAUGGGGGAAGAUGGGACAGAAAGGAUGGGAGGGUGUCCGAGCCCUUCCUGGACUGACGGAACCUGUGUCUUCUGCCUUCUGUGGACAGGAUGGUGAUUGCUCACGCCAAAGCCUUGGACCCCUCCCGGCCUGUGACCUUUGUGACCAACUCCAACUAUGCAGCAGACAAGGGGGCUCCGUAUGUGGAUGUGAUCUGUGUGAACAGCUGCUACUCUUGGUAUCACGACUACAGGCACCUGGAGUUGAUUCAGCUGCAGCUGGCCACCCAGUUUGA
rnacentral:lncRNA from 1 species